rnacentral:lncRNA from 1 species
CUGGAGGAGGAGACAGUUGCUUCAAAACUAGGGUUUGUGAGUUAUGAUUCUGGAUAAGAAAGGAGAAUGGACUCUUGGGCAAGAAUUUAGGCUUGGUGGAAAACGAGUAUCCAAUGGGUAUCUGCAAGUUAAAAAAAAUCCACAGAUUUUUUUAUGCAGGUAUCCAGCAGGUAGCAAGACAGGUAACAUAUAUGAUUUUUAAAUGCAGGUCGGAUUGUGGGUAAACACUAUCCAUACCUUACCUGACCCGUUGUCAUUCUACUCUUGCCACAACCUUAUCAUUGUCAUCAUAAACGUGAAUCACUAGUAUUUUAACUUUUACUAUUGUUUUUACUUAAAGAAAACCUUUCCCCCGU